rnacentral:lncRNA from 1 species
CCCACCGGACGGACAGACGACUCCGAUAAUGACUACCGAUAAUAUCCGACCAAAGGUAUGCCGGCCAAACAGGCCAAUACUGUUUCCAACCGGCCGAGCGGCCGAACCCAUAUCACCGACUCACUGUCGGGGGUGGCAGCCGACAUCCGACUUCCACAAGGCACCAGAUCAAUCGAUGGUAUUUUCGAGUCAUCACCCAACGUCCCGGCAAUC